rnacentral:lncRNA from 1 species
UUCCUAUCAUGGCUCAGCAGAAAUUUACCUGACUAGUAUCCAUGAGGACACAGAUUCUUUCCUUGGCCUCACUCAGUGAGUUAAGGGUCUGGUGUUGCUGUGAGCUGUGGUGUGGGUUGCACAUGAGGCUUGGAUCCAGCAUUGCUGUGGCUGUGGCGUAGGCCAGUGGCUACAGCUCCAAUUCAACCCCUGGCCUGGGAACUUACAUAUGCCAUGGGGGCUACCCUAAAAAGACAAAUAAAAGGGGGUAGUAAAAGCAUGCAAGUAGUAGAAACAGUGUGUGUCUGUGCCUGGGACCAGCAGACAUGUGCAUACGUGCAUGUACCAGGCUCUGUGAUGAACUUAGCCUGUUGGAAGAAUAGGGGUCAAGCAUAGGGAAUAAUGGAGGAAAUGGCAUGGGAGAUAAAGAUCUAGCCCUCUCCUGGUCUUCUUCAGUCUUGUUAAAACUCUUAAAUUUUUUAGCCACAUUCAUCAGCAUUGAAUGUCAUGGUCUCACUGCCAUGAAGGGUUUAAUCAAGGAAGCAACCCAGUCAUAUUUUACCUUCUAUUAGGUAAAAGGAAUACCAUUUGGCUUCCUAUGGUACAUCCCUCCUUGAAAAACUUUUUCUACUGAUUAUGGAGCCACAAAGAAGCCCACAAUAAGUUUCUCUUUAGAACUAUUGAAUGAUUUAUGUUCAGCCUGCCAUGAUUUCUCUUGGAAACCAGUUAAGUAGAUCAUUGGCUACUUUUGUAUUUCUAAUUAGGCAUUGUUAUAACAACCCAGACAUUGUGGUCCAUGAAAGAGUUAGAUAUUUUAAAAGUGGUGGUUCAGGCUUUAAAUACAAACAUAUAAACACCAUAAAAAAAGAGAGGAUUUUUUGUUUGUUUUAUUUCAGGCAGAGGUAGGGGAAAGGAUUGGAAAAGGUUUCAAUAGAAUGUAGGAUGCAGUUUUGUUCAUGAAAAGCAUGGCCAUUUUCUCAUUUGCCUAGGCCUUGAUAGUAGGGGGACUCUUGGAAAGGAGCAUUGGCAGAAGGCCUUACAGAAUGGGGCCUGCACUUUCCUAGGGGAUGAUUAUGUCUUUGCUCUUUCCCAAGCUGAGAUCCCCACUCCUAAUCUACCUUUCUCUGCCUGGUGAAUCUUUACUCAAGACACCUGUUUUUCAGAUUUUUAACCUAACAUUUGCUAUCAGUGUAACUGAGAUUUGGGUUCACUUACAACCCCCAAUAAUCAAAUGUACCUCCUUGAGGCCAUAUGUUUGGGCAGGAUGCUUGAAGAAGAAGCAUGUGCUACACUGGCCCUAUCCACUCCAGAACCCCAUCUGGGCAUUGUUGGAAUGCAAACCGUUGAACUCAGAUGGACUCAUCUUCCCAUCUGGUUGCAGUUUUGGUGUCCAAGCCCUGGAUGUAUUAUUCCUUCAUAUCUGAGUUAUCUCAAAUUAAGCGUUUUUUUUUUUUUUUUUUUAAGGAUCCAGAAAUAUGUCAAUGCAUAUAGUUAGUUUAUUUCUCCUGUUAAAUUCAACUGACUUUUAAAAGGACAUGACUGUUUCCUAUUUCUAGGCUAUAAAUAUCAGAUUGUGUGUUAAGCCUCUUGGCAACACACAAAAUGGAUUUUUGGGUCUUUGUUACAGCUAAUUUGAAUCUAUGUGAACAAGUCUCAAUUUACCAUGACUUUUAAGUUCAGUAAUGUUGAGCUAAAGAAUGAAACAUAAUUUCCUUAUUUACUGAAUUUUAUUUUUAUUGUUAAUAUAGAAUAGUUUCUGUUGGAAUAUUUUGAAAAAAGGGAUUUCUUUCCCAGUAAAUCUUAUGACCCAUCUUUUAAAAGUCUGCUCCCAUCAGCACAUAUUCAUGGGGACACAGAUGGCUUCAUGAGUUGAAACAGGGUGGGUUUGAAGGUUAAGUCUUAAACUGUUUUGCUCUCCAGUGCAUGCUGGGAAACCUGGUAGCCAUGGAAAUAAAAGCCCCCUUUCUACACUCCUGCCAUGGGCUCCUUCCUGAAUAAGGCUGAGAAGAGAGUUCAGCCAGCCUUAUUUUCUCUGCAUGAGUUUCUGGUCCACAUUUAGGAUGAGUAGUGGAGGUUGUGGUGGUAUAAACUAAUUUUUAAGGAGUAUUACCAUGCGCCGGGCACAAUUCUAAGCACUUUAGAUACAGUGAAUUAACUUAAUUCUUUAAAAAAAAUAUGAGUUAGUUUUUUUAUUACCCCAUUUUACAAAUGAGGAUAAUGAAGAGAUUCAAUGAUAGAAACUAAGAACUCCAUCUCCCUUCUUUUCUACUGAGAGUUUUUAACUAGGUUAGUAAAAUAUGGUAAAGGAGAGAAAAAGGGCAAACAGAGGAAGGUGUGGGUUUGAGAAACCAGAUGGGUGCUGAAAUUUAUUGAACUUCAUCUACUGCCUAGAUGGAGACAGAAUGGGUAAGAUGCCCAAGGUAAAGCUCACGUUUCUUUCUUAAAUGUCUGGCUGUGUGGUGGUAGGAGCAGGACCAAGGAUGAGGAGAAAAUCUGGAGAGAAGGUAAACUUUACAGCACUGAUUGAGUUUGAGUUUCAUCCAAUCAGUGCUGAUUGUCUUAAACAGUCAGAUUAAGAUGUUUGAUGGAAUAACUGGAUCAUCAAAGAAGCAUGAAGCUAUGUUCAGUAUAUGAAACAUUAUCCCCCAAAUGAUAAUAGCCAUUGAUGUUUAUUUCUUAAUUGGCAACAUAAGUAUUUUUCAAUGGGAAAUACUUAUGAUUUUCUGUAUUUCAAAAUACCAAGGUGAACAUAACAGAGAAUUUUACUCCAAUAUUGAGAAGGAAUCGUCAUUAACAUCUUGGUGAACACCACUGCAGAUUGAUCUACCCAUCCAUCUCUCUCUUCUCAUUUUCUGAGACCAUGGGAAGUUUCCUAAACCUCUCUCUGUGCCUCAGUUCCCUCAUGUAUCUGAUCAUUAUUGCUAUCCACCUAUAGAGUGAGAAUUAAACCUAUUAAAUGUUAAGCCUUCAGAACAGUGUCUGCCCCAUAGGAAGAACCCUCAAAGCACCAUCAAGUAUAACAUAUCCAUCUUUUAAAAAUAAAUGGGUUGUGUUCUGUGCUGUGUUGUAAUCUGCUCUGUUACAUAUUAUUAUUCUUUAAUGUUCACUAACUCUUAGUUAAUGGAACUGUCUUUCUAAAAUUAAUGUUCAUUGCUAAAAGUAAAAACAAAACAAAAAUGAAAACCAAGCAUAAAUGAAAAACCACCAUCAUGACAACAAAACAUGUAAUUAGGUCAGUAAUUGAAAAUGCUUUGACUUUGCCUUCAACCAGUAAUAGCAGUUACAAGAGACAAUUUUUAACAUCUAGAUCAUUUUACUUUGUGAUGAAUAAAAGAAAUCACCCAAAAAGUUUUGAUUAUUUGGCCUUUUCUACUUUGCUUUUCUGUUUCCACAUUAAUAAUUCUUUUAACCUUUGCUAUCUCAUUGAUCACCAGUGAGGUGAGAUUUCUACCUCUCAUCAUAGCUGCAUCCAUGUGGUGCUAACUUUUCAUUCAACUUUACUGUGUACUAUUAAGAUCUAAAUUUGUUUCUGUGACUAAAUAGGGCAAUAUAUACCUUUAACCAAAACCACUUCUUUUUAUUUCUC